rnacentral:tmRNA from 1 species
GGGGCCGUAACGGUUUCGACUGUAUUGAAAGGGGAGAAUAUAAGCGCGCCGAAGUUUCUCGCGCUUCGUUAAAUAGCGAGAAAAAAAGUAACUGACAAAAAUAGUUACGCAAUAGCCGCUUAAUUUAGCGCGGCUUGUCCCUUCCGCUUUCCUAUCGGGCGGAGACGGGGCAUUAUUUAGAUAGGGAUCUUUCUUUUCGUUUUGAAGGCGGCGAAAAGAAAGAAUCAAGCCGACUGCGUUUUGCGUAUUGCGUCUUGCCAUAGCGCAAAAUCAAGUUUUAAGCCAAGACUGAGCGCGGAGAAGAUUUUUCUGUUUCUAUGCAACACGCGGGUUCAACUCCCGCCGGUUCCACCA